rnacentral:rRNA from 1 species
GAUGAACGCUGGCGGCGUGCCUAAUACAUGCAAGUCGAGCGAACAGACGAGGAGCUUGCUCCUCUGAUGUUAGCGUCGGACGGGUGAGUAACACGUGGAUAACCUACCUAUAAGACUGGGAUAACUUCGGGAAACCGGAGCUAAUACCGGAUAACAUGUUGAACCGCAUGGUUCAACAGUGAAAGACGGUCUUGCUGUCACUUAUAGAUGGAUCCGCGCCGCAUUAGCUAGUUGGUAAGGUAACGGCUUACCAAGGCAACGAUGCGUAGCCGACCUGAGAGGGUGAUCGGCCACACUGGAACUGAGACACGGUCCAGACUCCUACGGGAGGCAGCAGUAGGGAAUCUUCCGCAAUGGGCGAAAGCCUGACGGAGCAACGCCGCGUGAGUGAAGAAGGUCUUCGGAUCGUAAAACUCUGUUAUUAGGGAAGAACAAAUGUGUAAGUAGCUAUGCACGUCUUGACGGUACCUAAUCAGAAAGCCACGGCUAACUACGUG